GCCCUUAGAUGUUCUGGGCCGCACGCGUGCUACACUGAGUGGAUCAGCGGGUCAGGUUGCGCGAAAGUGUUUCCUAAUCUUGAAAUCCGCUCGUGAUGGGGAUUGACGGUUGCAAUUUUCCGUCAUGAACGAGGAAUACCUUGUAAGCGCGGGUCAUCAUCCCGCGCUGAAUACGUCCCUGCCCUUUGUACACACCGCCCGUCGCUCCUACCGAUUGAGUGGUCCGGUGAGGCUUUGGGAUCUGAGCGGAAAGAGCGUUUCGCUGUUUCUGCUCGGAAAACUCAGUCGAACCUUAUCAUUUAGAGGAAGGAGAAGUCGUAACA
rnacentral:rRNA from 1 species